rnacentral:rRNA from 1 species
GAUGAACGCUGGCGGCGUGCCUAAUACAUGCAAGUCGAGCGAACAGACGAGGAGCUUGCUCCUCUGACGUUAGCGGCGGACGGGUGAGUAACACGUGGAUAACCUACCUAUAAGACUGGGAUAACUUCGGGAAACCGGAGCUAAUACCGGAUAAUAUAUUGAACCGCAUGGUUCAAUAGUGAAAGACGGUUUUGCUGUCACUUAUAGAUGGAUCCGCGCCGCAUUAGCUAGUUGGUAAGGUAACGGCUUACCAAGGCGACGAUGCGUAGCCGACCUGAGAGGGUGAUCGGCCACACUGGAACUGAGACACGGUCCAGACUCCUACGGGAGGCAGCAGUAGGGAAUAUUCCGCAAUGGGCGAAAGCCUGACGGAGCAACGCCGCGUGAGGGAUGAAGGUCUUCGGAUCGUAAAACUCUGUUAUUAGGGAAGAACAAAUGUGUAAGUAACUAUGCACGUCUUGACGGUACCUAAUCAGAAAGCCACGGCUAACUACG